UACAGAGGUGGCAAGCGUUGUUCGGAAUUACUGGGCGUAAAGGGCGCGUAGGCGGCCAUCUAAGUCAGACGUGAAAUCCCCCGGCUUAACCUGGGAACUGCGUCUGAUACUGGACGGCUUGAGUAUGGGAGAGGGAUGUAGAAUUCCAGGUGUAGCGGUGAAAUGCGUAGAUAUCUGGAGGAACACCGGUGGCGAAGGCGGCAUUCUGGACCAUAACUGACACUGAGAGACGAAAGCCAGGGGAGCAAACGGG
rnacentral:rRNA from 1 species